UACGUAGGGGGCGAGCGUUGUCCGGAUUUAUUGGGCGUAAAGAGCUCGUAGGCGGCUUGGCAAGUCGGGUGUGAAACCUCCAGGCUCAACCUGGAGACGCCACUCGAUACUGCUAUGGCUAGAGUCCGGUAGGGGACCACGGAAUUCCUGGUGUAGCGGUGAAAUGCGCAGAUAUCAGGAGGAACCCCGGUGGCGAAGGCGGUGGGCUGGGCCGCAACUGACACUAAUGGACGAAAGCUAGGGGAGCGAAUGGG
rnacentral:rRNA from 1 species